AUGGAUAGCGUCGGGAUGAUGAAGAUGGCCUCUGGUGAUGGGAUCCCCCUCCGGCAAGGUGUGGGAAGAGGGUCCCGAUUGGUUUUGGUGGCUACAGAGGCUUGCGGCGGCGGAACUCCCGAUCUAUCUUCUUUUCUGGAAGUUUUAGGGUACGUAGGUAUAUAUGGGUGCAGGGGGUACAUCGGUGGACCUCCGGGCUGCUCACGAGGUAGGGGGGCGCGCCUAGGGGGAGGGGGCAUGCCCUCCACCCUCGUGGGCAGCCCGGGACUCCCCUGGCAUGCACUCCAAGCCCAUCUAGUUGGUUUCCUUCCAAAAUUAACUUCUCAAGUUGAUUUCGUUCCGUUUUGA
rnacentral:rRNA from 1 species